UCAAAGGUUCCCUCAGAAUGGUUGGAAAUCAUUCAUAGAGUGUAAAGGCAUAAGGGAGCUUGACUGCGAGACCUACAAGUCGAGCAGGGUCGAAAGACGGACUUAGUGAUCCGGUGGUUCCGCAUGGAAGGGCCAUCGCUCAACGGAUAAAAGCUACCCCGGGGAUAACAGGCUUAUCUCCCCCAAGAGUUCACAUCGACGGGGAGGUUUGGCACCUCGAUGUCGGCUCAUCGCAUCCUGGGGCUGUAGUCGGUCCCAAGGGUUGGGCUGUUCGCCCAUUAAAGCGGUACGCGAGCUGGGUUCAGAACGUCGUGAGACAGUUCGGUCCCUAUCCGUCGUGGGCGUAGGAAAUUUGAGAGGAGCUGUCCUUAGUACGAGAGGACCGGGAUGGACAUACCUCUGGUGUACCAGUUGUCGUGCCAACGGCAUAGCUGGGUAGCUAUGUGUGGACGGGAUAAGUGCUGAAAGCAUCUAAGCAUGAAGCCCCCCUCAAGAUGAGAUUUCCCAACUUCGGUUAUAAGAUCCCUCAAAGAUGAUGAGGUUAAUAGGUUCGAGGUGGAAGCAUGGUGACAUGUGGAGCUGACGAAUACUAA
rnacentral:rRNA from 1 species